rnacentral:RNase_P_RNA from 19 species
UGAGUAGAUCAGAUGAUCGCGGACAUGGUUUUCCAUGGACGAGGAAAGUCCGAGCUCCAUAGGGUAGGGCGCUGGGUAACACCCAGUGGGGGCGACCCCAAGGAAAGUGCAACAGAGAGAUACCGCCAGAUCCCUUGUUCAGUAGCAAUGCUGUUACUUGGGUGAGAAUAGCUUUUGACAGCUAUCUGGUAAGGAUGGAAAGGUGAGGUAAGGGCUCACCAGGGGCUAGGUGACUAGUCUGCUAUGUAAACCCCGUCUGGAGCAAGACCAAGUAGGGACUGAAAAAGCGGCGACCCGUCGUGUCCCGUGGUAGGUUGCUUGAGCCGUCUGGUAACAGCCGGCCUAGAUAGAUGAUCGUCGAAUACAGAACUCGGCUUAUAGAUUUGCUCACUUA